UACGUAGGGUGCGAGCGUUAAUCGGAAUUACUGGGCGUAAAGCGUGCGCAGGCGGUCUGUUAAGACCGAUGUGAAAUCCCCGGGCUCAACCCGGGAACUGCGUCCGAUACUGGCAGGCUUGAAUCCGGGAGAGGGAUGCGGAAUUCCAGGUGUAGCGGUGAAAUGCGUAGAGAUCCGGAGGAACACCAGUGGCGAAGGCGACACGCUGGGCCGGUACCUGACACUGAUGCGCGACAGCAUGGGGAGCAAACGAGGA
rnacentral:rRNA from 1 species